CCAAACAAUACCACACCCCAUUUUCUUCUAGUAUUAGUAAGAUUGAAGUUUCAUCUUAAUUUACUCUUUGAAGGAAAACUCCAAUACCUCUCCUCUCUCAAAUAUCUCCCUCAUUUUUUUCCUUGUGAUUUCUUCUUCAUUGUUUAUGUUAUUGUAUACCCAAUUACCCAUACAUAGUUGAUACAUCCAAUCAUCUCUUUCAAUUCUUGGUAUAUAUAGAGAGAGCUCAAAAUCCGUAAGGCUAAACGUUUUUAUAUUUUUUAAAAGAAAUUAGGGGAAUUUG
rnacentral:lncRNA from 1 species